CUACCGCACCCUUCCCUUCUCUAUCCGUCCGUGCCGCCAUCCCCUCCCUCCCUUUCGUGGUGCCGCACCUCCCCCUCCACCUCCUCACUCGAUAGCACCCAACACCGCCACCUCCCUUGUGCUGGGGAUGGGACCGCCACCGCCGCCGCCAGGUCUCCUCCGUGGCUCCGCCUUGGGAUGCGGUGUCGCUCUCCCCUGCGCUUUUAACUCACAAGUCGCAACGCCAGACUCGCAUCCGUCGCUGCUACAUCCUCCCUCUCCCCACCGGCACUGGAUCCUCCAUCCGCCGCUGCUCUUUCUUUCUAGCCGCAAGGUGGAGGGAUCCAUCUGGGCUCAUUCCUUCCCGCGUAGGCAUGCAUGAAGGUAUGGAGUGGAUGGAAAAGUGGAUAUAACUUGAAGAAGAAAAGAUUUAUUUUGUAGUCCCGGGUGUCUUGCAGCUCGAUGCGGCAAGGAGCCGAGGAGGAGGAGGGCUCGACCGAGUGCUGGAGCAGCUCGAGCUCCAAGGAGGGGGAGGUGGUGCCUCCCCCCUUUAUCAUCAGGAAGCAUCACUAAUUUUUUCCUGCAUACUUCAAGAAUCACUGUUUGCCUAACUUCAUAGGUUGUAUUGACUUCAGUUAAUUCUUAGAAAUAUUAAUCAUAGUAAAGUAUUGUUGAGAUCAAUAGAUUUUUAUGAACUCUGAACAUAUAAUCAGCUUUCCCUUUUUACUAGCUCAAGCUUUCAGAGCCGCAGGCAGAGAGCUCAACGUCUACCUCAACGACUACAAGGGCGAGUGGAAGGCUCAUUCGAUUGACAUCAGGUGCCAGGACAAGGGAGGGUUGCUGGGUUCGGCCUCACUUUUGGAUGUCGUCCCUGACCUGCGGGAUAAAACUGAUCAUAUAAAGUUGGGAACGGAACAGAUGGAGGAGCUGAUACAGAUGAAUAGAGAUCCAAGAAGAAAAUUGUUCCUGUGUUGUUUUGGGAUGCAUCAAUUUAGCUCUUGUGUAACAGAGAUCCAAGAAGAAAAUUGUUCCUGUGUUGUUUUGGGAUGCAUCAAUUUAGCUCUUGUGUUGUGGGGCAUUCUUUUGAUUAUAAUGAAGUAGAUUGAUGUACAGUGGGAUGCAUCAAUUUAGCUCUUGUGCUGUGGGGCAUUCUUUCGAUUGUAAUGAAGUGGAUUGAUGUA